rnacentral:rRNA from 1 species
UGGGGAAUUUUGGACAAUGGGCGCAAGCCUGAUCCAGCCAUGCCGCGUGCGGGAAGAAGGCCUUCGGGUUGUAAACCGCUUUUGUCAGGGAAGAAAUCUUCUGGGCUAAUACCUCGGGAGGAUGACGGUACCUGAAGAAUAAGCACCGGCUAACUACGUGCCAGCAGCCGCGGUAAUACGUAGGGUGCAAGCGUUAAUCGGAAUUACUGGGCGUAAAGCGUGCGCAGGCGGUCUUGCAAGACAGAUGUGAAAUCCCCGGGCUUAACCUGGGAACUGCACUUGUGACUGCAAGGCUGGAGUACGGCAGAGGGGGAUGGAAUUCCGCGUGUAGCAGUGAAAUGCGUAGAUAUGCGGAGGAACACCGAUGGCGAAGGCAAUCCCCUGGGCCUGCACUGACGCUCAUGCACGAAAGCGUGGGGAGCAAACAGGAUUAGAUACCCCCGUAGUCC